rnacentral:rRNA from 1 species
CCUACGGGAGGCAGCAGUGGGGAAUAUUGGACAAUGGGGGCAACCCUGAUCCAGCAAUUCUGUGUGCACGAAGAAGGUUUUCGGAUUGUAAAGUGCUUUCAGCAGGGAAGAAGGAAGUGACGGUACCUGCAGAAGAAGCGACGGCUAAAUACGUGCCAGCAGCCGCGGUAAUACGUAUGUCGCGAGCGUUAUCCGGAAUUAUUGGGCAUAAAGGGCAUCUAGGCGGCCUAACAAGUCAGGGGUGAAAACCUGCGGCUCAACCGCAGGCCUGCCUUCGAAACUGUAAGGCUGGAGUAUCGGAGAGGUGGAUGGAACUGCACGAGUAGAGGUGAAAUUCGUAGAUAUGUGCAGGAAUGCCGAUGAUGAAGAUAGUCCACUGGACGGAAACUGACGCUGAAGUGCGAAAGCCGGGGGAGCGAACAGGAUUAGAUACCCCAGUAGUC